UACGUAGGGUGCUAGCGUUGUUCGGAAUCAUUGGGCGUAAAGCGCGUGUAGGCGGUCCGGUAAGUCCGCUGUGAAAGUCGGGGGCUCAACCCUCGAAUGCCGGUGGAUACUGUCGGGCUAGAGUGCGGAAGAGGCGAGUGGAAUUCCUGGUGUAGCGGUGAAAUGCGCAGAGAUCGGAAGGAACACCCGUAGCGAAGGCGGCACUCUGGGCCGUGACUGACGCUGAGGAGCGAAAGCGUGGGUAGCGAACAGG
rnacentral:rRNA from 1 species